CUUUUGACCUCGGAUCAGGUAGGGAUACCCGCUGAACUUAAGCAUAUCAAUAAGCGGAGGAAAAGAAACCAACAGGGAUUGCCCUAGUAACGGCGAGUGAAGCGGCAACAGCUCAAAUUUGAAAUCUGGCUCUUUUAGAGUCCGAGUUGUAAUUUGCAGAGGGCGCUUUGGCUUUGGCAGCGGUCCAAGUUCCUUGGAACAGGACGUCACAGAGGGUGAGAAUCCCGUACGUGGUCGCUGGCUAUUGCCGUGUAAAGCCCCUUCGACGAGUCGAGUUGUUUGGGAAUGCAGCUCUAAAUGGGAGGUACAUUUCUUCUAAAGCUAAAUAUUGGCCAGAGACCGAUAGCGCACAAGUAGAGUGAUCGAAAGAUGAAAAGCACUUUGGAAAGAGAGUCAAACAGCACGUGAAAUUGUUGAAAGGGAAGCGCUUGCAGCCAGACUUGCUUACAGUUGCUCAUCCGGGUUUCUACCCGGUGCACUCUUCUGUAGGCAGGCCAGCAUCAGUUUGGGCGGUAGGAUAAAGGUCUCUGUCACGUACCUCCUUUCGGGGAGGCCUUAUAGGGGAGACGACAUACUACCAGCCUGGACUGAGGUCCGCGCAUCUGCUAGGAGCUGGCGUAAUGCUAACUUC
rnacentral:rRNA from 1 species